UCAGACGAUGCGUCAUGCAUAUCAAUAAGCGGAGGAAAAGAAACUAACAAGGAUUCCCCUAGUAACGGCGAGUGAAGCGGGAAGAGCUCAAAUUUGAAUCUUAAAGGGUUUCCCUUUACGAAUUGUAGUUUAAAGAAGUGUUUUCUGUUGAGGUUUUGGUAAAAGUUCUUUGGAAUAGGACAUCAUAGAGGGUGAGAAUCCCGUAUUUGACCUUUACUUUCAACUUUGUGAUACACUUUCAAAGAGUCGGAUUGUUUGGGAAUGCAGUCCAAAAUGGGUGGUAAAUUUCAUCUAAAGCUAAAUAUUGGCGAGAGACCGAUAGCGAACAAGUACCGUGAGGGAAAGAUGAAAAGAACUUUGAAAAGAGAGUUAAACAGUACGUGAAAUUGUCAAAAGGGAAGCGUUUGACACCAGUGUUGUUUUUCUGAAAAUCAAUUAAAGAACUGUUUAUGCUAAGCUGUUUAGACUUUAUCAGCUAUCUGUUUAGUUUUGAGCUUUUCUCUAAUGCACUUUUCAGUUAACAAGUCAACAUCAAUUUCUUUUGCUGUAAAAAAGCUUGAGGAAGGUGGCUUGAGAUUCGUCUUAAGUGUUUAUAGCCUCUUGCCUAUGCAGUCGGAGAGAUUGAGGUCUGCAGCGUAGAUCCUUCGGGGCUAAAUGCAUUUGUGCUAAGUUAUAGCAUUUUAUAGACAACUUGUUGACUAUGAUUUGUCUUGUAGCUUACUCGCUUAUGUUAUUUUACCUACGCUUAGGAUGUUGACACACGCGCGUGCUCG
rnacentral:rRNA from 1 species